rnacentral:rRNA from 1 species
UACAGAGGUGCGAGCGUUGUCCGGAAUCACUGGCGUAAGGCGCGUAGGCGGCUCGGUAGCGUGCGGUGAAAGCCCGGGGCUCAACCCCGGGGUCGGCCGUGCGAAGCUGCGGAGCUGGAGCAGCUGGUAGAGGCAGGGUGGGAAUUCCGGGUGUAGCGGUGGAAUGGCGUAGAGAUCCGGAAGAACACCGGUGGCGAAGGCGGGCCUGCUGGGCGAGUUGCUGACGG